ensembl:snRNA U6 U6 spliceosomal RNA
GUGCCCAUUUUGGCAGCACACAUACUAAAAUUGGAAAGAUACAGAGAAGAUUAGCAUGCCCCUGUGCAAGGAUGACAAGCAAAAGUGAGAAAUUAUUUUU